CAGCAGGUUGUGCCAGGUUUACUGGAGAAAUGCCACUGAGCAGAGGGUGGUAUUUGCCUAAGGCUUCCAGGAGCAAUGCUGCACACCCCUUUCCCCUGCCUCUCCUUCCCAUGAAAUCUCAAUUCUGGUGAAAGGAAAACGUAUAAGUCUAGACUGAAGAAAUAAUUAGAAACAUGAAACGGAUGAAUCAGACUCCAGAAAAUAAAAAAGGUGACAUUUCUUUGAGGCCCUUCCAGGACCAGCCAGUUAUUCUGAUCCACAGAGUGAGAUUGUGCUCUUCUCUUGUUUACAAUGAUUCACAUAAAACCCAGGAUCUCUGAGAAGCUAGUGGCUGUUGGAGCCCAGGGCAGGGAGCAGCAGGAAGCAUGGCCAGGCCCUUUCCCCAUGUGAGGCAGUGCAUCCCUCAAAUUUGGCUCACACUCUUCCUCCAGCCUGCCUCACUUUUCAUCAGAUCUGUUGGCUCCCACUGGACUGAGUGCUGAUACUGCACCACAGACCAGAGGGAUGAAGAGGAAGGCUGCCUGCUGCUGACAAGCUGCUUGGAGAGUAGGAAAUUUAGGUGUUCUGUGAUGUUUAAUGCUGAAACAUCAUCAUUACUUGAUAUAGUGCCUAGUCCUGAAUCUGACACCCUGGCACAAAGCUGCUACAUAUCAAAUAUGCCUGAAUUACUGCAGACUCUGAAAGCCCCUCCCAGCUCUAGGGCAUCCCCUCAGUCAACAGGAUUUUCCUGACCUGCUCAUUGCAGGAGUGAGACAAGCCAGAGAGCAAGGCUGGAAUCUCUCACACAGCAGAGAAAGGCCAGUUCCUCCUUUCCAUGUUCUCACUCCCUUCACCUGUGCCUUUCCUUCCUCCUUCCUUCCCUUCUGCAUCUGCAAAGCCUUGGAGGUAUAACCCUGCACCCAUCUUUCCUGGCUAUUCUCUUCUCCAUGGCUUCCCUUGCACAUGGACACAGGUGUGGGAGACAGAUAAAACAGGAUGCCAUCAGGGAAGAAAGUUUAUUUACAGACCACUGGAGUGAAGGGCACUAUUUGUGCAUGCAGUGCCUCUCCUUCUCUAGAUGAGGAGCUGGCAAGGGUCUGUAAUACAGCUCUGGCUGCAGCAGCAUGGACACUGACAGCCUGCAGACGAGCUUGCUGACAAGCUGUGAAAAGCCAAAAAGGUCUUUGCCUCAAAUAAGACCCUGGCUGGACAGAAGCAUGAGCUGGCCAUGCAGGAUCUUGUAACGUUACAUUAUUGACUUGUAGUGAGGUGAAUGGGUGAAGUGACAGUGAACUUGGCCUGUAAAAUUCUGAAGUACAUUUUUUUCUGGACUCUACUAAGGGAGUACAACAUGUUUAUUCUGCUAUUUGUGUGCUAUUAUCUGCUCUUUGUGCUGGGAUUCAGUAAUUUCUUCCUUGUCUCUGUUCCCUUUGUGUCCAGAGCCUGACUAAUUUUGCAUAAAGUGCUAGGGGAUGUUGGUUGAGGAUGACUGUGAAAGGUGAGUGGCACAGCCUGUGUGCCAGCAUUCAUUUCCUGGUGGAAAUAAAGUGUGGGUGCAGUGAGUGUGUGUACCCAACCAAAUUGUAGACAAUGUUGUGGGUGUUUGGCAUUGUUAACUCAAGUUUAUAUGUGCGUCUACCUCCUAAGAGCUCUGUGGACACAGCCUUAGAUGACAAUUAGCUUUGCACUGCCAGCUCUGUCCUUUAAAUUAUGCCUGUACUUUAUUUCUGGAAACCUGAAACAGACAUGAGAGGAAGAAAAACUGGUCUCUAUUUUAGAACAGCUUGAAUCUAUGAGGUGUAAAGUUCUUGAUAAAUGGGAAGACAUGAACGCACUAGAGACAGUGAAGGAAGAAAUAGUGGUUUAUGCCAUGACGGUGCAUAUGAUGGCCAAGACCCUUAGAAAAAUAUGGACAAAAAAAAAAUUCUAAACGUGUCCUAGUAAGAUUUCUGAAGAAGUAUUGGUGUCCAUGUAGGUACAACCAUGACAGACCUUUUAGCACUGAGAUAUUGUCCCUCAGUGGUCUUUAUUUUAUCCUCACAGACAAUAUAUGCCUAAUUUGGGUGCUUCUAUGCUCACCACAGCAUCUUGCCUCUGCCCCUGCCAUGGGAGGUUUGUAGGCUGACCUUUACUAUGUCAGAUGGUCAUCUACAGACAUAGGGGUUAUUUCUGUAUUCAUGCUACAG